AUUGAACGCUGGCGGCAGGCCUAACACAUGCAAGUCGAGCGAGCGGCGGACGGGUGAGUAAUGUAUGGGGACUGCCCGAUAGAGGGGGAUAACUACUGGAAACGGUGGCUAAUACCGCAUACUAUCGGAUAACCCAUAUGGGAUUAGCUAGUAGGUGGGGAAAAGGCUCACGUGGGCGACGAUCUCUAGCUGGUCUGAGAGGAUGCUCAGCCCCACUUGGACUGAGACACGGCCCCGACUCCUACGGAGGCAGCAGAUGGGAAUAUUGCCCAAUGGGCGAAACCCUGAUGCAGCCAUGCCGCGUGUAUGAAGAAGGCCUUAGGGGUGGAAAGUACUUUCAACGGGGAGGCGUUACCCGCAGAAGAAGCACCGGCGAACGCCGUGCCAGCAGCCGCGGUAAUUC
rnacentral:rRNA from 1 species